rnacentral:rRNA from 1 species
UGGGGAAUAUUGGACAAUGGGCGCAAGCCUGAUCCAGCCACGCCGCGUGAGUGAUGAAGGCCUUCGGGUCGUAAAGCUCUGUGGGGAGGGACGAACCGCCGGUGGUUCAUAGCCAACGGCAUGACGGUACCUCCUUAGCAAGCACCGGCUAACUUCGUGCCAGCAGCCGCGGUAAUACGAAGGGUGCAAACGUUGCUCGGAAUUAUUGGGCGUAAAGCGCACGUAGGCGGCUUUUCAAGUCCCAUGUGAAAUCCCACGGCUUAACCGUGGAAGUGCAUGGGAAACUGGAAAGCUUGAGUACUUAAGAGGAUCGCGGAAUUCCCGGUGUAGAGGUGAAAUUCGUAGAUAUCGGGAGGAACACCAGUGGCGAAGGCGGCGAUCUGGGAAGAUACUGACGCUGAGGUGCGAAAGCGUGGGGAGCAAACA